rnacentral:rRNA from 1 species
CCUACGGGUGGCAGCAGUGAGGAAUAUUGGUCAAUGGGCGCGAGCCUGAACCAGCCAAGUCGCGUGAAGGAUGACUGCCCUACGGGUUGUAAACUUCUUUUAUAAGGGAAUAAAGUGAGGCACGUGUGCCUGUUUGUAUGUACUUUAUGAAUAAGGAUCGGCUAACUCCGUGCCAGCAGCCGCGGUAAUACGGAGGAUCCGAGCGUUAUCCGGAUUUAUUGGGUUUAAAGGGAGCGUAGAUGGGUUGUUAAGUCAGUGGUGAAAGUUUGCGGCUCAACCGUGGAAUUGCAAUUGAUACUGGCAGGCUAGAGUGCAGUUGCGGUAGGCGGAAUGUGUGGUGUAGCGGUGAAAUGCUUAGAUAUCACGAAGAACUCCGAUUGCGAAGGCAGCCUACUAAGCUGCCACUGACGUUGAUGCACGAAAGUGUGGGUAUCAAACAGGAUUAGAUACCCGUGUAGUC